rnacentral:rRNA from 1 species
CCUACGGGAGGCUGCAGUGAGGAAUAUUGGUCAAUGGGCGAAAGCCUGAACCAGCCAAGUAGCGUGCAGGAUGACGGCCCUAUGGGUUGUAAACUGCUUUUACAGGGGAAUAAAGUGAUUCACGUGUGUUUCAUUGCAUGUACCCUGCGAAUAAGGACCGGCUAAUUCCGUGCCAGCAGCCGCGGUAAUACGGAAGGUCCUGGUGUUAUCCGGAUUUAUUGGGUUUAAAGGGAGCGUAGGCCGCAGAUUAAGUGUGUUGUGAAAUUCAGGCGCCCAACGUCUGACUUGCAGCGCAAACUGGUCUGCUUGAGUUCGCGCAACGCAGGCGGAAUUCGUCGUGUAGCGGUGAAAUGCUUAGAUAUGACGAAGAACUCCGAUUGCGAAGGCAGCUUGCGGGAGCGUUACUGACGCUGAAGCUCGAAAGUGCGGGUAUCGAACAGGAUUAGAUACCCGAGUAGUC